rnacentral:rRNA from 1 species
GCAAGUCGAACGAGAAACCCCUUCGGGGGCGGACAGUGGCGAACGGGUGAGUAAUACUUGGGAAUCUACCCUGAAGUGGGGGAUAACAGUUAGAAAUGACUGCUAAUACCGCAUAAUCCAUAUUGGGAAAGCUUUAGUGCUUUAGGAUGAGCCCAAGCCUGAUUAGCUUGUUGGUGCGGUAACGGCGCACCAAGGCGACGAUCAGUAGCUGGUUUGAGAGGAUGAUC